rnacentral:tRNA from 1 species
AGGGCAUUGGCUCAACUGGUAGAGCACCGGACUCCAAAUCCGGGGGUUGGGGGUUCGAGUCCUCCCGGGCCUGCCA